rnacentral:lncRNA from 1 species
AUCACAACAGCAGUUCUCCCGGCAUUACUGAGAAAUGAUACUAUUUUUCUGAGGAGGAUGUUCAAGUAACUCAUCCAGUGCAGGAUCCUGCUUGAACUACUGCUCCUCCGUUACAUCAGACUCUGGCUGUUUAGACUACAGGAUGAAUUUGGAGUCUGUUUUGUGCUCCUGCCUCAAGAAGAAGGAUUGCCUGGAUUUAGAGGAGUGAAGAGUGCUGGAGAGGGCCCAAAGGGACAAACAAUCCCUAUGUGAGAUUCAAGGACUGCCAGCAGCCUAUACAGCUACAUUACAUCUCAGCAGAACUUCUCUUCAAGUCCUCGCUACUCUGAACAAAAAGCUUACAGGCCACAUGGAGAAAAAAAGAUCUCCCCCCAGAAUUGUGGGCUUGUUGCUUUGCAGUGCUGGCGACCUAUUCCCUUUGACGAUCCCUAGGUGGAGAUGGGGCAUGAGGAUCCUCCAGGGGAAUAGCUCACCACCACUGGGCAACAGGCCUAGCCCAGAUUUCAGUGAGACGCUUUCCUGA